GAGGUUCGAUUAUGGCUCAGAUUGAACGCUGGCGGGAUGCUUUACACAUGCAAGUCGAACGGCAGCACGGACUUCGGUCUGGUGGCGAGUGGCGAACGGGUGAGUAUCGGAACGUGCCGAGUAGCGGGGGAUAACUACGCGAAAGCGUAGCUAAUACCGCAUACGCCCUUCGGGGAAAGCGGGGGACCUUCGGGCUCGCACUAUUAAACGGCCGAUAUCGGAUUAGCUGGUUGGUGGAGUAACGGCUCGCAAGGCAGCGACGAUCCGUGGCUGGUUUGAAGAGAGGACGACCAACCACACUGGGACUGAGACACGGCCCAGACUCUACGGGAGGCAGCAGUGGGGAAUUUUGGACAGUAAACCUGAUCAACCAUCCCGUGUGCGAUGAAGGCCUUCCGGGUUGUAAAGCACUUUUGGCAGAAAGAAACGCGCGGGACAACUACCCGUGCAACUGACAGUACCUACCCAGAAUAAGCACCGGCUAACUACGAUGCCCGGCCGCGGUAAUACGUGGUGCAAGCGUUAAUCAGGUACUGGGCGUAAAGCGUGCGCAGGCAGUUCGGAAAGAAGAUGCUUGAAAUCCCAGAGCUAACUUUGGAACUGCAUUUUAACUACCGAGCUAGAAGUGUCAGAGGGAGGUGGAAUUCCCGCGUGUAGCAGUGAAAUGCGUAGAUAUGGAGGGAACACCGAUGGCGAAACGGCCUCUGGGAUAACGCUGACGUAUGCGAAAGCGUGGGAGCAAACAGGAUUAGAUACCCUGAUGAUCCCGCCUAAACUGAUGUCAACUAGCUGUUGGGGCCUUCGGGCCUUGGUGGCUGACUUCGCGUGAAGUUGACCGCCUGGGGAAGGUACGGUCGCAAGAUUAAAACUCAAAGGAAUUGACGGGGACCACACAAGCGGUGGAUGAUGUGGAUUAAUUCGAUUGCAACGCGAAAAACCUUACCUACCCUUGACAUGUCUGGAAUCCCGAAGAGAUUUGGGAGUGCUCGCAAGAGAACCGGAACACAGGUGCUGCAUGGCUGUCGUCAGCUCGUGUCGUGAGAUGUUGGGUUAAGUCCCGCAACGAGCGCAACCCUUGUCAUUGAAUUGCUGAAAGGGCACUCUAUUGGGAACUGCCGGUGACAAACCGGAGGAAGGUGGGGAUGACGUCAAGUCCUCAUGGCCCUUAUGGGUAGGGCUUCACGUCAUAUGGUCGGGACAGAGGGUCGCCAACCCACGCGAGGCCAAUCCCAGAAACCCGGUCGUGAUCCGGAUCGCAGUCUGCAACUCGACUGCGUGAAGUCGGAAUCGCUAGUAAUCACAGAUCAGCAUGUCAUGAUGAAUACGUUCCCGGGUCUUGUACACACUUGACACCCUGCAUGGGAGUGGGUUUUACCAGAAGUAGUUAGCCUAACCCAAUAAGAGGGCGAUUGCACCACGGUAGGAUUCAUGACUGGGGUGAAGUCGUAACAAAAUG
rnacentral:rRNA from 1 species